rnacentral:rRNA from 1 species
CCUACGGGAGGCAGCAGUAAGGAAUAUUGGUCAAUGGACGAAAGUCUGAACCAGCCAUGCCGCGUGAAGGAUGAAGGCCCUCUGGGUUGUAAACUUCUUUUAUAGGGGACGAAAAAAGGGCAUUCUUGCUCACUUGACGGUACCCUAGGAAUAAGCACCGGCUAACUCCGUGCCAGCAGCCGCGGUAAUACGGAGGGUGCAAGCGUUAUCCGGAUUUACUGGGUUUAAAGGGUGCGUAGGUGGGUUGGUAAGUCAGCGGUGAAAUCUUCGAGCUUAACUCGGAAACUGCCAUUGAUACUAUCAAUCUUGAAUCAUCUAGAGGUAAGCGGAAUAUGUCAUGUAGCGGUGAAAUGCUUAGAUAUGACAUAGAACACCAAUUGCGAAGGCAGCUUACUAUGGAUGUAUUGACACUGAGGCACGAAAGCGUGGGGAUCAAACAGGAUUAGAUACCCUGGUAGUCCACGCCCUAAACUAUGGAUACUCGACAUUUGCGAUAUACUGUAAGUGUCUGAGCGAAAGCAUUAAGUAUCCCACCUGGGAAGUACGAUCGCAAGAUUGAAACUUAAAGGAAUUGACGG